UACGGAGGAUCCGAGCGUUAUCCGGAUUUAUUGGGUUUAAAGGGUGCGUAGGUGGACUUAUAAGUCAGUGGUGAAAGUUUGCAGCUUAACUGUAAAAUUGCCGUUGAAACUGUUAGUCCUGAGUGCAAAUGAGGUAGGCGGAAUGUGUUGUGUAGCGGUGAAAUGCAUAGAUAUAACACAGAACACCGAUUGCGAAGGCAGCUUACUAGAAUGCCACUGACACUGAUGCACGAAGGCGUGGGGAUCAAACAGGAUUAGAUACCCUGGUAGUCCACGCAGUAAACGACGAAUACUAGCUGUUUGCGAUAUACAGUAAGCGGUACAGCGAAAGCGUUAAGUAUUCCACCUGGGGAGUACGUUCGCAAGAAUGAA
rnacentral:rRNA from 1 species